CCGCACAAGCGGAGGAACAUGUGGUUUAAUUCGAUGAUACGCGAGGACCUUACCCGGGCUUGAAAUGCAUCUGACCGGCCUUGAAAGAGGCACUCCCUUCGGGGCAGAUGUGUAGGUGCUGCAUGGUUGUCGUCAGCUCGUGCCGUGAGGUGUCGGCUUAAGUGCCAUAACGAGCGCAACCCUCAUCAUUAGUUACCAUCAGGUAAGGCUGGGGACUCUAAUGAGACUGCCAUCGUAAGAUGUGAGGAAGGUGGGGAUGACGUCAAAUCAGCACGGCCCUUACGUCCGGGGCGACACACGUGUUACAAUGGGUGGUACAAAGGGCAGCUACCUGGCGACAGGAUGCUAAUCUCGAAAACCGCUCUCAGUUCGGAUCGGAGUCUGCAACUCGACUCCGUGAAGCUGGAUUCGCUAGUAAUCGCGCAUCAGCCACGGCGCGGUGAAUACGUUCCCGGGCCUU
rnacentral:rRNA from 1 species